CGCGUAGGCGGUUCGUUAAGUUGCUGGUGAAAUCCCGGGGCUCAACUCCGGGGCUGCCGGCAAGACUGGCGGGCUCGAGCACGGUAGAGGCGGAUGGAAUUCCCGGUGUAGCGGUGGAAUGCGUAGAUAUCGGGAAGAAUACCGGUGGCGAAGGCGUUCCGCUGGGCCGUUGCUGACGCUGAGGCGCGACAGCGUGGGGAGCAAACA
rnacentral:rRNA from 1 species